CGUAUGCGCUCAUUUCAAAAGCUCAGUAACAGUCUUUGGUUUCUCAGUCGACGAAAAGAUCCUCUUUAUCACCUUUAACUAGUUGCUUAUUAUUAGCUUGCAAAUUACUAAGAUAUUAGCUGUAUAUUAGUACUUAUAAAACACAUAUUAAUGCCUUAUACUGCAUGACCAUAUUCUACAUCCCUUAAUCCUAUCCAAUACCUAAAAUUAACAACUACCUUACUAACUAUUAAUAAGCAGUAAUUAGGAGUUUAUUGUGGCAAAAGUCAUAGUUAAUAGUUAGUUAAUAGUGAGAAUUGGACCCUAAACUAAAAAUUAUUAAUUAUAAUUAUAAUUAUUAAGUUUUUGCCAUCUGUUAACUAAAGCAUACAGACUGAAUCACCAGAAUUGCAAUGGUUUACAAAUUUUGAGAAUGGUUUGGGAAGACAUAGGCAAUAUCUUCCUUUGUUGUUCAUUUUAAACACGACACAAAUAAAACAAAACUUUGAUUAAUAAUAAAGGUUUCCUUAUGUUACACUUGCUUAAUUCUCCAGGAAGUGACAUCAUUUUGGAAGGAAAUCAGCAGCACAAACAUCAGUAAGUAUUAGAAAUGCUGUUGUCUUUUCCUGCAGCAAGAUUUUAUUGGUCUUUUUUAUUUAUGUAUCUGUUGGGACAAAGCAUGGAAAUGUGAAACAUAAAUAAUAUUAAAGAACCGUCCUACAAAAUACUACAUAGGAUUAAAUCAGUUUAGGCAGAAUAUUUCAUACACCUGUCAAUUUUGACUGGAAAAGUAAAUAAUUUAGCAUUAGUUUGAUCAUAUAUUUAAGAUUAUUUUGGAAGGAUAUCUAUAUUAACAGAAAACGGGGGUGUAUGAUAGAAAUUUGUGUAUUUAAUGUAUUUUUUUAUUUUCAAAAUCACUUUUUGGAAAGUAAAGAACAAUACAUUAUGCAAUUAUUUAUUUUAUUAGGAAAAUUAAUCAUAAAAAGUGGGCUCUUUACAAACCAGAUUUCUUACAUUUUAUAAAUGACUUCCAAUUAUACAUGAACCUUUUGGAACUAAUCAAAAACAAAAGUACAUGUAAUGUUUUGAAAGCACUGAAAUGUAUGUAACUUUUUAUGUUUUUUCAUCAGUUUCAAUCACCUUUUUGCCUUCAGUAGUUCAUUGUAAAUGGAUUUGUGUGUGAUGUAAACUGUAUGAUAAUUAUCCUGCAAAACAAAAUGCAAAAUGUUGUUUAAAAUAGUUUUUAUGGAGUAUGACGCCAAGAAGAACAUGUCUAUUUAAUGUCAAGUAACCAGAUACUCAGAAAUCCAAAAUUUUGCAAUCUUAUGUAAAGUUGUUUUUUUUUUUUUUUUCACUCUGUAUGUAUUUGCAACCAUAUAGCUGAGAUCUGAGAAAGUAUGUGGAUUUUUUAAACAAAUGACCAACAACAAGAUCCUACACCACCAGCAAGCACAUGCGCCUUUAUGGACAUUUAUUAAAUAUUAAUUUACCUGGGUAAAGUAUUGUUCAAAGUUCAUAAACAACACCAUAAAUGGCAUGAAAGUAUUUUUGUAUGGAAGUAAAGAUACAGAAAAACAGCCAACUACCAAAGUGAGUUUCCAUGAAGAGCAAAAGCACAUACUGUGAUCAUGGGUGCUACACCUUCUAAGGAUAAUGAACAGAUUGAGAAAAAGGAAAAACCAUUUUGUGAAUGUGAGCUCAGGCAGAGACGUGGAACUUUGCAGAAAAAUCCUAACUUGAGAAAUGACAAAGAAGAUUCAGAAGAGAAGACACCGAAAGUAUACAUAGAACUCCACAGAUUUGUAGUGAUAUUGAUGGCUGUAGUUGCGGCACUUAUUGGUUCAGUUGUUGGAGCUCAAAAUGGAGUUUCAGGGUCUUGCAAGGGAAUAAUCUGCGGUGUUCUUGUGGGGAUUAUACUUUCAAAAUUGAUAUCAUUAAUUCAUGGCAACAUAUGAUUUUACAUUACUUUAACUCAUAAAAAUAAGUUUAAAUUUAAUAAGUUCAAAUUUAUUCACUCUUUUAUCCAAAGAAACCUACACAUUGUACAUCAUAUAAGCACUUGAAUCAUAAGGAGCUGCAAAGUUUGAAAGUUGAACAGAUACAUGCUAGUACAAACUGCAAACAGAAAAGAAUUUUCUUAUGUUUUUAAGUAAAAUAUAUUUGAGAAUGUGCAGGGGUAGCUUAGAGUUAUUCAGAUUUUACAGAGUUAAUUUUUUCAAGUAACUAGUAAAGUAAAAGUCAAACAAGCAAGCCCAGAUUAGAUAAAGUAACACAAAUAUAAUGUAACAUAUUACUUUUCAUAAAAAGUAACUAAGUAACACAACCACCAGUUACUUUUUAGGGUGUAACACAAUUUUGUAAUGUAUUACUUUUAAAAGUAACUUUCCCCAACACUAGCAUUAUGUAUAUAUUUUCUUGAAAACUGAGGGACGGGUUGGUUGACACUGGACAGAUUGUACUAUAGAUUUGAAUUGAAAAAAAAAAAAAAAAACAGCUAGUGAGAGUAAAAAGAUAAAAUACAUUUGCUACACUAAUACACGUCUGAAUGAAACACUGCAUACUAGGACUGUAGGGUGAAUACAGGGACUUAAGUUCUUGCAUCAUACCAGCAUUCAUCUAUGCCUCUUUAGUUCUGACAUCAUUUCUGUGGGCAUAUCACAUUUAGACAGCUUUGUAUGCUUUAUAUGUUAAAGAUGUGCAUCCAAGGAAGCUAAAAAGCAGGUGUUUGCUAGACUUUGUGUGCUGUUGUGUUGAUGGAUUUGCCUGAGCAAUUGUGUAAAAAUGGAAAGUGGAGUCCAGAACUACAAUAAAAACAGGAACAUACUCUAUAAACAUGCU